rnacentral:lncRNA from 1 species
CACAACCAAGAAUAGAAUUGUACAGGGGCAGCCUUCUCCUUCAGCACAGGAAAGUGAGAAGGUCAAGAAAGGUAUUUAAAGGAAGUUGUACUGUCUUUCCCUGGAUGCUCUGACCUUCACUGCUACAUCUAACUCAGUAAUAGCAAGAAACAAAUCCAGUGACCACAGAAGGAUUCCAAAUACCACAUCAAACAAGUCACUAAUCCCAAAGAUCAGCAAAUGAAGGCCAGAGAGGAAGAAGGCCAACUGAAGAACAAGAC